rnacentral:lncRNA from 1 species
UAGAUAAUAUAUCUAUUAAAAAUUAUAGAGAAAAUACCAAAGAAUUGAUACAAAAUAGUAACGGAUGCAGAAGGUUUGUAAAUCAUUACAUUGAAGAGGUAGAGAAGAUUUUGAAGAGGUUUGAAGAGGUGGAUCUAAAUUUAUGUAUUAAUAAGUCUAAAUUUAGAAUAGAUGAGAUUGUGGUGGUUGGAUAUUUAUGUGGGAGGUAUGAUAGAAAAUCUAAUCUUAAGAAAGUUGAUGCUAUUGCUAGGAUAAAGGUAUAUAAUAGCAUCACUAAAAUAAAAAUAUUUGAAGACUUUGUAUCUUCUAUAAGAUUUAAAUUAUUUACUUUGCUCAUAUAGCUAAGCUUCUAUAUA